rnacentral:rRNA from 1 species
GACGAACGCUGGCGGCGUGCCUAACACAUGCAAGUCGAACGGAGACUAUUUUAGAAAUUUUCGGAUGGAAGAGAUAGUACUUAGUGGCGGACGGGUGAGUAACGCGUGGAUAACCUGCCCAUAAGCGGGGGAUAACAGCUGGAAACGGCUGCUAAUACCGCAUAAGCUGUAAGAACUGAUGGGUUUUAACAGUAAAGGUGGCGAAAGCUGCCGCUUAUGGAUGGGUCCGCGUCUGAUUAGCUAGUUGGUGGGGUAAAGGCCUACCAAGGCGACGAUCAGUAGCCGGCCUGAGAGGGUGGACGGCCACACUGGGACUGAGACACGGCCCAGACUCCUACGGGAGGCAGCAGUGGGGAAUAUUGCGCAAUGGGGGAAACCCUGACGCAGCGACGCCGCGUGAGCGAAGAAGGCCUUAGGGUCGUAAAGCUCUGUUGUAAGGGAAGAAAAGUGCGGGUAGUAACUGAUCUGCAUAAGACGGUACCUUACGAGGAAGCCCCGGCUAACUACGUGCCAGCCGCCGCUGUAAAAC